GACGAACGCUGGCGGCGUGCUUAACACAUGCAAGUUGAACGGAAAGGCCCUGCUUUUGUGGGGUGCUCGAGUGGCGAACGGGUGAGUAACACGUGAGUAACCUGCCCUUGACUUUGGGAUAACUUCAGGAAACUGGGGCUAAUACCGGAUAGGAGCUCCUGCUGCAUGGUGGGGGUUGGAAAGUUUCGGCGGUUGGGGAUGGACUCGCGGCUUAUCAGCUUGUUGGUGGGGUAGUGGCUUACCAAGGCUUUGACGGGUAGCCGGCCUGAGAGGGUGACCGGCCACAUUGGGACUGAGAUACGGCCCAGACUCCUACGGGAGGCAGCAGUGGGGAAUAUAGCACAAUGGGCGGAAGCCUGAUGCAGCAACGCCGCGUGCGGGAUGACGGCCUUCGGGUUGUAAACCGCUUUCGCCUGUGACGAAGCGUGAGUGACGGUAAUGGGUAAAGAAGCACCGGCUAACUACGUG
rnacentral:rRNA from 1 species